GUCGAACGAGAAAGUGGAGCAAUACAUGAGUACAGUGGCGACCGGGUGAGUAACACGUGACUAACCUACCUCCGAAUGGGGAAUAACUCCGGGAAACCGGGGCUAAUACCGCAUAACACCGCAAGGUCAAAGCAGCAAUGCGUUUGGAGAGGGGGUCGCGGCUGAUUAGCUAGUUGGCGGGGUAACGGGCCACCAAGGCAAAGAUCGGUAUCCGGCCUGAGAGGGCGCACGGACACACUGGAACUGAAACACGGUCCAGACUCCUACGGGAGGCAGCAGUGGGGAAUUUUGCGCAAUGGGGGAAACCCUGACGCAGCAACGCCGCGUGGAGGAUGAAGUCCCUUGGGACGUAAACUCCUUUCGACCAAGACGAUAAUGACGGUACUGGUGGAAGAAGCACCGGCUAACUCUGUG
rnacentral:rRNA from 1 species